rnacentral:rRNA from 1 species
UUUAAAACGGGAACGUUUUUCAUCCAAAAAUUAAAAGAGCGCCCCCUAUAUCGAAGAAGUUAAAUCAGUUAUGGUUCCUUUGAUCGCUCCAACCUUACUUGGAUAACUGUGGCAAGAGCUAAUACAUGCCAACGAGCGCUGACCUCCGGGAAUGUGUGCAUUUGUCAGACCCAAAACCCAUGCGGGCCAAUCUCGGUUGCCCCGGCUGCUUUGGAGACUCUAGAUAACUUCGAGCUGAUCGCGCCCUUUGUGGCGGUGACGUCUCAUUCGAAUGUCUGCCCUAUCAACUUUCGAUGGUACUUUCUGUGCCUACAAUGGUGACCACGGCUAACGGGGAAUCAGGGUUCGAUUCCUGAGAGGGAGCCUGAGAAAUGGCUACCACAUCCAAGGAAGGCAGCAGGCGCACAAAUUACCCACUCCCGACUCGGGGAGGUAGUGACGAAAAAUAACAAUACAGGACUCUUUGAGGCCCUGUAAUUGGAAUUAGUAAACUUUAAAUCCUUUAACGAGGAUCCAUUGGAGGGCAAGUAUGGUGCCAGCAGCCGCGGUAAUUCCAGCUCCAAUAAUGUAUCUUAAAGUUGCUGCAGUAAUAAAGCUCGUAGUUGGAUCUCGGGAUUGAGCUGCGGGGUCCGAAGCGUUUACUUUACCCGGGUACCCAGCACCCAAUCUUAUUUCGGAACGGAAGGCAUCUUCCUCCACCUUCCCCCUUCAAUACAAAUGGGUUACCAGGUGCACAGAGAAGGUCCAGGAGCCAGAGUCCAGAGUCAAGAGGCCCAGAGAGAGAGUGGGCAAGCGGACUAAGGAAGGUGGGUACCCGGCUGAAAAGUACCACCGGCACCUGGUAACCCAGAGUCCGGA